rnacentral:rRNA from 1 species
AUGUCGCGCUCGUGGGCCGCAACGCUCACGUCGGCCUCCUUCGUCGAGCUCCACCUCCGUGAGGCCAACCGUCACCGGUCCACGCCCAAGCUCUUCUUCACAACGGGGCACCCCGAGGACCCGGACAACAGGUGGCUAAUCGAUAAGGUCCUCACCAAGCCUUGCAAUGGCCUCGUUCUACUCCACCGCCUGCCCGGCAGCGGCUACUAUGUCUACAACGCAAGCACCGGCGUGCUUCUGCCCCUCCCUGACAGCGACGAUCGCCGGUGGGGCAUGGCCAUGGGCGAGUCCUACGGCCUGGGCUACAGCCCGAUCACCAAGGAGCACAAGGUGGUGCGGCUCUUUAACUCCGGCUCCACCCCCUGUUGCGAGGUCUUCUCGCUCGAUGUGUCGAUGCAGUGGAGAGUCGUCCCUCGGCAGACUCCCCCCUCACGCGUCCCUGUGCGAGUUCAUCCUGCCGUGUUCUGUGAUGGGUACCUGCACUUCCUCCAGGGUCGUGGCGGCAGCAACAUCGUCACCUUCGAUGUAGGCGACGAGACCUUUGGUCUGCUGGCGACACCCCCAUCAGCACAAGGCAAUGAUGUUCCGCUCGAGCUGACGGUACUCGGCAGACGCUUGUGCAUGUGUGUCUUCCGCGGCGGUCGAGGAAGCGACGUCGACCCUUACUGCAUCUGGCGGCUGGCCUGUCGAGAUUCCGGGCAAUGGGAGAAGCUCUACCGCGUGCUUCACCCACAGACCUGCAGGCCCCAGCUCGACCUGCUGCGGGUACCCUGGAUUUCUCCCCUCGAAACCUACCUAGCGGGCAAUGUGCAGAAGAUCAUGUUCGCCACGGAGGUGGGCGUGCUCGCGUUCGACCUCCAAGGCGGCGGCGGCGUCCCAGAGGUGCUGGUCUCGCCGACGGAGAUCGUUUCCGCCGCCGAACAAGCCAAGAUUUCCUACAGCACCGCGGGGUUGCUGGAGGAGAGCCUCGUGCCCGUGGGCCGCACGAGCGAGGAGAUCGCCUUCUCCUCCCCAUGGAGGAAGGCGUGGUCGGACGUCCUCAAGUGGCGACCCGCACGGUCGGUUGCCUCCCUGGCGCACGUGUGCAAAGGGUGGCGCGCGGUGAUCGAGAGCGACCGGUUCGCCCGGACGCACGCGCUCCACGCGAACCUGGGCAACAAGAGCCCUCGGCUCAUGCUCGUCCUCCUCCGCCCCUUCUUGAACGCCCUCGACUUCUACCCACUGCCACUGGUGUUCCGCCGGAGCAUGCAACAGGAGAUCCCUAGCCUACACGAGACGUCUAUGUCGACGGUGUGCUCCAGGCCCUGCCACGGCCUCGUCCUCGUCACCCACAUGGACGGCGGCUCCCGCGUCGACUUCGUCUGCAACCCUAUCAGGAACUACGGAUGCCGCGUAAAAACAGACCCACCAAAUUCUCCUUAUUCUGAUGGCUGGAUAGGGUUGGGUUACGACCUGCGUAGGAACGAGCACGUGCUGGCACGCCUCGUCCGUCCUGAGACUGAGACGGGCUCUCGACAUCACCAACCGAUGAAGUGCUACGUCCAGCUCAUGGGCAUCACGCCGUCACCGUGGAUCCCAAUCAGCCCCCCGCCAAGGCCGCCGGCGGUCGACAUGCAGCCUGCCUAUGCCGACGGGAAACUCUACUGGAUGGUGGAAGACGACGGCGACGAUGAUAAACCAGCUUCAAGCCGGUGUGAGCUGCUGGCGCUCGACGUCGGCACGCGGGAGUUCGCGGUGCUGCCAGGGCCGCCAUGCGACCGCGGCCAGAUCACGUCCAUUGCCGAGCUCCAAGGGAACGUGUGCGUCGUGUGCUCGGACACGGGCGCGAACGCCAUCGACGUGUGGACAUUGGGAGGUGCAGCGGGCUCUUGGUCGGCAUGGCCUUGCCGUAUCGAGCUCGGGGAGUUUCGGCAGCUGUACCCGUCGGCGGAGACCAGGCUGUUGGCCGUUGAUCCGAAGGACGGGAGGGUGCUUCUCAGCACGGGGAGAGUGUUGGGAUACUACAACCCCGAGACACGGGCGUUGCAGACCGCCUACUGUAUUUCAUCAGAAGACCUACAGGGUAUGGUUGCUCCGGCGGUCUGCCAUGAAAGCUUGCUCCGUCCACGGAUUUAG